CUCAAGCCACAAUUAUCCUUGCCCUGACUUUGCUUUGUCUCCUUGUAAUUUUGGAUUUUUCUACCUUGCAGGAUAUUGCCUGAACCUGACUUCGUCCUCAGCAUCAAACACUGUUUGGGUUGUUGACUUCUGGAGAAGAGCUCUCCAGCUUCAUGAACAAAGACUCAAGCCUCCUGUUACUUCAUUGGAUUAAAUCGGCUGGCAGCCUCCCGAUUCCUUUGUUCCUUGGACCACCUCCAGCGAACCCUGUCCACUCUCCUUCGUCCACAGCACCUUCACCAGAAACUCCUGAUCCACUGACGUCCCCUUGCAUUCCAGUAUUCACCAUCUCCCGUCACACGGGUACACAACCUCUUGGUCUCUCCACCCCCCUCUCUGGCGGAUCUCUCCUUCAUCCCAUUGCAUCCCGGUUCCAGUCCCCUGCAUUCCUCAGUAUUGUAAAUAAAAUCCUUGCCGUCGAA